GAAUGAAGAAAACACGGUAAUGUGCACGGAAAUUGAUUUGGGUCUUUAGGCCUGCUCUCUUUGAUACCUUUUGGUUUUAAUUUGAGGGCAUGGUUUUACAGAAAAACG